AUUAAUAGAACUACGUUUUACCAGCGGACUGAAAGUGUUACUGACGGGAAUCUACAGCGUCUUGAGCUGAAUUAAGACUUCAGAAGUCAUUCGUCAUGUCGAAUGACCAGCGGAUAAACUCUCAGGUGUUUUGUGCCAGAAAUGGAGUGUCCACUGAAGACUGCAGAUACUGAAUCUCUACGCAUUGCCAUUGAUCCCUCUUGUGCCUUCAUCUAGACAAGAGACAUUAACUUAACCACUCUCACAUGCUCUGUACCUACAUCAUCUUCCCUGACAGUCGUAGCUUGGCUCAUCUGAGGAUGCUGACACAGUAACAUGGAAGAGGGAAAGAAGUUGGAAAGGACUACUAUAAAUAAACCUAAUGCCUAACAAUGAAAAAUGUAAAAUAAGAACAAUAAUAAUAAUAAUAAAGAUAAAAGAUGAAGUAACAAGUUUUGUUUAUUCCAAAUGAUCAUCCAGAUGUCUGUGACAUGUGAUGACAAACACCAUAAUGGAAGGCCUUUGUCAUCACAUGCUUAAACUCAUAUAUUUUUGCAUAUCCUGAACAGGCAGUCAGACAUGCUGUAACUAUGGGGUAGAAAACUGCAUGAACACCAUACGGCAGGGGUCUCAAACUCCAGUCCUCGAGGGCCGCUGUCCUGCAACUUUCCCAUGUGUCCCUGUUGCAACACACCUAGUAGGUCAUUAGCAAGAGUAUAGAACUUGAAUGCAUGCUGAGUUGGCAAUUCAGCCAUUUGAUUCACGUUACAGCAGCUCAUGAGUGAAUGGACAUGGUGCAAUAAAAGUAUUUUAGAAGUAUAUGUUUCCAAAUACAUAUAUUUACUUAAAUUUACUUGAGUAGGGUUAGGGGUUGCCACCUCAGCAUGCAGUCAAGUUCUAUACUCUUGCUAAUGACCUACUAAUUGUAUUCAGGUGUGUUGCACCAGGGACACAUGGAAAAGUUGCAUGCAUCCCUCGAGGACUGGAGUU